GCAAGUUAGAACAGUUUAUUUCCGGUACGAAGCCAGGAUUCAGGCAAAGCAGAUCCCUGUUCUUGACAUGGUUAGAUUUCAAGGGAUGCGAGAUGCAACAUAUAUCCCGAUAUCAAUCACCUCGAAAAGAAGUGCAUCGCUAAAACGCGGCAAAUAAAUGAGUUACAAGGGGAAAUUCAGAAUUUGAAAGAAAAACUGGUAAAUAAAGACAGGCAGAUUGCAGAUAUGCAGGCAAACCAAAACAGAAUGUAUGCAGAGAAUGAUAGUCUAAUGCUCAGAGUGAAAAUGGCAGAACAGACAGCAGCA